AGAACAAAUAUAAAAGGAAAUAGAAAAAUUACAGUGAAAUAGACCAAAUAAGACAAUUCCCUUCCUUCUUCUCCUGUUCCAUUUCUCUUUUCUUCUUUUGAUUCAAUUAAAUCACGCACUCCAGUUCCUUUCAUUUGUAUUUAAUUGAAUUAAAAGAGAAAAGCAAUGGAAUGGAGAAGAAAACAAAAGGAACAAGACACAACAAUGAGUGGUUUAUCUGGUGCCUUUCAUUCCAUUCCACUUAAUUCCUAAGAAAUGCAUUGGAAAAUA
rnacentral:ribozyme from 1 species